rnacentral:sRNA from 1 species
GCACAGACCCAGAACAGAAUGAAGUUGAUGGCAGACAACUAUGAUGAGGACCAUCACCAUUACCACCACCACCACCAUCACCACCACCAUCGAUCUCCUGGGAGGUCGCAACAUUCCAAUCACAGGCCCUCUCCGGACCAGGAUGACGAGGAGGGCAUAUGGGCAUAGCCGGGCCUGUAAACCAAAGUUCCAGUUUUGUUUUGAGGGCUAUCAGAAGGGCUGAAUAAAGGGAACAUGCAGCUCUGCAGCAAUAUUCUGAUAAUCUAUUGCAGUGCGGCUCACAUCACUGUCCACCACCACCUGGAGCGGCUCAUCAGAACUGAAGGGGAGUUUUCACUUACAUUAUUGAGCGUGAUUCUGUUCUACUUGAUAUUUCCUUCAUCACCUCAUGUCAUUUCUCAUGGAUUUGGAUAUGAUGGAAAGGAAGAAUGCAGAGGAGGAGAAAAGUGACAGAUCCUCCAUUUUUGUCAGGAUGCAGGCAUUUUGAAUGUAAUCAUCUUUGCUGAAUGUCAUUUUUUGAUAACAUUUUGUUUAUGUUACUUAAACAUCAUUGGAUAAAUUUGAACUCCAUGGGAUUUUA